GGGGAGGGAGGUGGGAGCUGUCGGAGGCCGACGGUGGCCGACUGCGGUCGUCGGAGGGCUUCCGAGCCCCGUAUCGCCCAAUAGGGCUUUCAAGAGAGCGAGAAAAAGAGAGAGAGAACGCUCGGAGGGAGAGCGAGGGACCUAUCGGACGGACGGUGCCUCCGUCAUGAGGACUUCGGUGGUCAGCGAGCCGACGCCAACGGCGUGAGGGCAGUCGAGCGAGCGAAGCCCCUCCGCGGCUCCGCCCUCUUCUUUUUCGAAACAGACGACUGUCUGUUUUGAUUUUUUAUUUUUUUUGUUUUAAACUUAUGAAGUCGGCAACCUAGUUGCGGACUUAAGGAAUUUUUUUAAAAAAAUACAAAAAUCGUGAAGCCGACAAACUAUUUGCCGACUUCGCUUAAAACUAAGUUUUUUAAAAAAAAUUACGAAACAGGGGUGACACCCCUGUUUCACGUCUGUGAUGCCGCACGCGUGAACUGCGCCCUCCGACGACCACGACGGCCAGUCGGAGGUUGUCCGACGGCCCCGCCAGCUCCUUCCCCUCUCUCUUUUUUUUUCUUCCUCUUUCUCUCUCUAUUUCUCUCUCUCUCUUUUUCUUUUGGUUCGGGUCUGCUUGUCUUCGUCGGUUCGGUACGGUACAAAACUGUAUCGAUCCAUACCGUCGGUCGGCCGAUACAGCCGGUGGUACCGGUUCAGCAUACUUUGCUUUUAAUUAAUCAAGCUUUUAUUCAUUUUCAACUUAAAAUUAAAAUCACUCAACCAUAAUUAAAUACGAUCCUUGCGGAUACAAUCUCAACUCACACUAUCUACAUAAUAGUGAGUUAAUCUUUAUUUUUGAAUGCCUACGACAACGAUCAAAUUUUGGCACCGUUGUCAGGGAUCGUGUUUUAGUUGCUUUGAGUUUAUAAAAGAAAGAAAGAAAGAAGUCGUACAUUGACACCUCAUGAACUAUUUAGGAGAUCAGAGACCUAGCUACAUAGCUACAAAACCUAACAAGUGAAGCCAACUAAUUUAAUUUUGAUUGUGUGUCAACUAACUUGGACAUCUUGAUCUUUUGCAUAACAUCUUCAUAAAACAUCUUAAGGGCAUAACCCAUUAACCAAGAUAAGGUGGGGAUUUCAUCAUCUUUCUUUGGCCCAAAAAUCACAAUCCUUCGUAUUGCAUUGAGCUAAACCUUAACUUAAAAUCAAUUAGAUGUUGAUCCCUAAGGACUCUCGAGCUCAAUAGGACAAGGAAUCCUAAGAGUUGGAUCAGAUUAGGAUUAGUCAUUUUGACCAAUGUCUAGGAAAGUGGUUCAGGGAUAAGAUCCUGAAAGAAGAUGGUUAUUUAAUUGGUUCCGUUCGCUUACCUAGCCAAUUUUAAUUGGUGUCUAAGAAAAGCAACGUAGGGACCCCCACCAGCCUUAUACUUGUCUAGCCAGUUGAGUGGCUAGUCUUUUACUUGGAUUGCUCGAAGGCGACCUUGGAAUACUUAGGAGCUGUCUAAAUCCAGGACAACCCUUAGUUAGAAUUGAUUGCAUAACUUGAUUACUAACUCACAAACAUUAAACCUAAUAAAAUUUUUUUCAUCUAUUUCUUAGAUUUAGGACUCUCUAAGUUAUCAUCUUUAGAAUUUCUUUCGUCGUUUUCUUUUAUAAAAAAAAUAAAAAAAUCCUAUAAAAAUUAAAAUUUUCUGUUUGCUCUAAGGUAUAAUUAUAGGAUUUAUACUUGGAUGCUGUUCAUUACGACCCGAGAUUUAACCCCUAGAUCCUAAAAUUGAAAGAACCCUUAGAGCCAACAGACCUAGAAACAUGGACCGAAAUUAGGAGAAUAAUCCACCCUAAGCAGUUGAAGGAGUACGUUACUCUUUCCAUAUAUACCUACUCUCUUUGCAUUCAAGUGCCUCCAGUUGAAACAGUUGAAUAUGAAAUCAAGUCUAGUGUCAUCCAAAUGCUGCCAUCUUUUUAUGGACUUGCAAACGAGGACCCAUACGAACAUCUUGAUGAAUUCCUAAAAAUCUACUCUACAGUUAAGAUCCAAAAUUUUUCUGACGAUGCUCUCAAGCUAAAAUUGUUCCCUUUUUCAUUAAAGGAUAAAGCCAAAUAUUGGCUAAACUCCUUAUAUACUAUAACAAUUUCAACUUGGGAUCAACUUCAGAGGAAAAUCCUUAAAAAAUACUUCUCAAUAGAAAAAAACUAAUCAAAUAAGAAAAGCAAUAACUAAUUUUUCCUAGUUAGAUGGGGAGAUGUUUCAUGAGACCUGGGAGAGGUUAAAAUAAUUAAUUAGGAAUUGCCCUCACCAUGUUGUACCCAAAUAGCAACUGAUCUAGUGCUUCUAUGAUGGCCUGUCAGAGAAGCACUGACAAAUGAUUGAUGCCUCCUGUAGUGGAACCUUCAUGCUAAAAAAUGAGCAUGAAGCCUGGUAGCUUUUUGAAACAUUGAGUGAAAAUUCACUGCACCACAUGUCUGCUGCCAGAAGAGAUCCUCCCAUGUUCGGACCUAAACAAAGUGGGAUUUAUGAAAUUGAUAGUUCAAUGGAUAUCCACAGUAGAGUAGAUGAAUUAUCUCAAAAAUUAGAUCGAUUACUACAAGUGGUACCCACCAGCACCCCAGCCACACCUAUGAUAGAUGUUUGUUCCAUAUGUUCGAGUCCUGCACAUAUUGUUUAUGAUUGUCCUCCUGCACCCCAAUUUCCUGAGUUUAUACAUGAACAAGUAAACCAAGUACAAACUCAGAAUAAUUAUAGACCAAGCCACAAUCCUUACUCAAACACCUAUAAUCCAAGCUGGAGAGAUUAUCCAAAUUUUUCAUGGAAACCCCAACCUAUGGUUAAUCCGACUAUUUACAGACCCAAUUUUCAGGAGUCACAAUAUCGGAGCCCAUCCUACUUUCAACACCAAAAUAUUCCUUAACCUUCUCCUAGUAACCAUAGUUCAGCCUUUGAGGAGGUCUUAAAAAUCUUAAAAAGACUAGAAGUCAACGCCCAAACCCUCCACUCCUGCACUCAAUCGAUAGUCAAGCUAGAGACCCAAAUAGGUCAAUUAGCUACAUCUUCAGUAGGAGGGAGGACGAAAAACUGCUCAGUCAACCCGAGAUUAAUUCUAAAGGUCAAUAUAGGGCUAAAAAUUUUAAUGCCCACGAAACUUUUCUCGAACAGGCCAAAUCUAUCAUGACUCUCAGGAAUGGUAAGGUCAUAGAACAACCAAGUGAAAUCAAAAAGACCAAAACCAAUGAGAAAUUGAUUGAAUCUGAACCAUCCAA
rnacentral:lncRNA from 1 species